rnacentral:rRNA from 1 species
CCUACGUGUGUCAGCAGUGAGGAAUAUUGGUCAAUGGGCGUAAGCCUGAACCAGCCAAGUCGCGUGAGGGAUGAAGGUUCUAUGGAUCGUAAACCUCUUUUAUAAGGGAAUAAAGUGUGGGACGUGUCCGAUUUUGUAUGUACCUUAUGAGUAAGGAUCGGCUAACUCCGUGCCAGCAGCCGCGGUAAGACGGAGAAUCCGAGCGUUAUCCGGAUUUAUUGGGUUUAAAGGGUGCGUAGGCGGCCUUUUAAGUCAGCGGUGAAAGUCUGUGGCUCAACCAUAAAAUGGACGUUGAUACUGGGGGGCUUGAGUAUGUUUGAGGCAGGCGGAAUGCGUGGUGUAGCGGUGAAAUGCUUAGAUAUCACGAAGAACCCCGAUUGCGAAGGCAGCCUGCCAAGCCAUGACUGACGCUGAUGCACGAAAGCGUGGGGAUCAAACAGGAUUAGAUACCCCUGUAGUC